rnacentral:lncRNA from 1 species
CCGGGGCUGUUUUAGAAAUCAGAGCUUGUGGAAAACGUGCUAUUUUUUAAAAAAAUUAUCUAGCUUACGUGACGUACAGAUACGCCACAAAUACAAAGUUUCUCUAUCCACACGGAUAGUCACCCCUAUAUUUGCACAGCAUACCAUCUUAUACAAUAAAAUACAAGAUCAACAAUUUCAUUCUACAUUCACAACCAAUCACAAACAUUCAUUUACAUCCAUAUAAAUAUAGAGAACGAUUUAGCAAACCUAUUAGUUAAAAGUGCUUCCCACCCGAAAGCUUUGUUUUUAAACUCUAGAUAAACAUCAAUCGAAACCAUUCAAAAUCCUUUUGAAAAUUAUUUCCCACACGGAAACUCAAUCUUUUAAAGUCGAUUGCCACG